UUUCUACUCCCUCCGUCCGAAAAUACUUGUCAUCAAAAUGGAUAAAAAGAGAUGUAUCUAAAACUAAAAUACGUCUAGAAAUAUUUCCUUUUAUCCAUUUUGAUGACAAGUAUUGCGGACGGAGGGAGUAUUUG
rfam:Triticum aestivum genome assembly, contig: Triticum_aestivum_CS42_TGACv1_scaffold_392727_5AS